AUUGAACGCUGGCGGCAUGCUUUACACAUGCAAGUCGGACGGCAGCACAGAGAAGCUUGCUUCUUGGGUGGCGAGUGGCGAACGGGUGAGUAACAUAUCGGAACGUACCGGGCAGUGGGGGAUAACUAAUCGAAAGAUUAGCUAAUACCGCAUAUCUUCUGAGGAAGAAAGCAGGGGACCAUUUGGCCUUGCGCUGUUUGAGCGGCCGAUAUCUGAUUAGCUAGUUGGUGGGGUAAAGGCCUACCAAGGCGACGAUCAGUAGCGGGUCUGAGAGGAUGAUCCGCCACACUGGGACUGAGACACGGCCCAGACUCCUACGGGAGGCAGCAGUGGGGAAUUUUGGACAAUGGGCGCAAGCCUGAUCCAUCCAUGCCGCGUGUCUGAAGAAAGGCCG
rnacentral:rRNA from 1 species